rnacentral:rRNA from 1 species
UACAGAGGUCUCAAGCGUUGUUCGGAUUCAUUGGGCGUAAAGCGUGCGCAGGCGGUUCGUUGUGUCGGUGGUGAAAGCCCCGGGCUUAACCUGGGAAUGGCCAUGGAAACUGGCGAACUGGAGUGUGGCAGAGGGGGGUGGAAUUCCGCGUGUAGCAGUGAAAUGCGUAGAGAUGCGGAGGAACACCGAUGGCGAAGGCAGCCCCCUGGGCUAGCACUGACGCUCAGGCACGAAAGCGUGGGGAGCAAACAGG